GCGCCGGUGGUGUAGAGCGUGGCGUCUCGCUCGGAAGGCGGAGGUGCGGAUUCGAGUUCCGCCUGGCGCA
rnacentral:tRNA from 1 species